ACGGGAGGCAGCAGUGGGGAAUCUUGCGCAAUGGGCGGAAGCCUGACGCAGCGACGCCGCGUGAGGGAUGAAGGCCUUCGGGUUGUAAACCUCUUUCAGCAGGGAAGAAGCGAAAGUGACGGUACCUGCAGAAGAAGCACCGGCUAACUACGUGCCAGCAGCCGCGGUAAU
rnacentral:rRNA from 1 species